rnacentral:rRNA from 1 species
AUGAUUUACAUUUGAGUGAGUGGCGAACUGGUGAGUAACACGUGGGAAACCUGCCCAGAAGCGGGGGAUAACACCUGGAAACAGAUGCUAAUACCGCAUAACAACUUGGACCGCAUGGUCCGAGCUUGAAAGAUGGCUUCGGCUAUCACUUUUGGAUGGUCCCGCGGCGUAUUAGCUAGAUGGUGGGGUAACGGCUCACCACGGCAAUGAUACGUAGCCGACCCUGAGAGGGUAAUCGGGCCCACAUUUGGGGAACUGAGACACGGCCCCAAACUCC